rnacentral:rRNA from 1 species
UACGUAGGGUGCGAGCGUUAAUCGGAAUUACUGGGCGUAAAGCGUGCGCAGGCGGUUCGUUGUGUCGGCGGUGAAAGCCCCGGGCUUAACCUGGGAACGGCCGUUGAAACUGGCGAACUGGAGUGUGGCAGAGGGGGGGGUGGAAUUCCGCGUGUAGCAGUGAAAUGCGUAGAUAUUCUGAAGGAACAUCAGUGGCGAAAGCGACUUCCUGGACCAAUACUGACGCUCAUGUGCGAAAGCGUGGGGAUCAAACAGG